rnacentral:piRNA from 1 species
UCCUAGCUUAUAAGGGGCCUAAGUGCAGGGU